CAUUCUAUGAUUUUAACCAUACAAUGUAUCAUCUAUGAUAACACAAUGCAUAUUCAAAUUUUUUGCGAUAACAUAGUUUGAUAAAAACAGAUUCACAACAGAAUUCAAAGAACUUUCAUAAAAUAAAAAAUUAUUUGUGAUAUCAUCCAACGACCAUUCAACUUAUUUGUUGCCCAAAUUAAAAAAAAGUCUUAAACUUUCACUACAUUACCAUUCAAAUAUCUUUUUUCUCAUCAAUACAAAUAUUAUCGUUGAUUCCAUCACCACAUCAUGAACAUCAUCUUUUUCUUUCUUGUUUUUCUCUUCUUCUUUCUCCCUUUUCUUCUUUUAUUCUGCCUCUUCUUUGACUGUUUUUUCUUUUUAUUAUUUCUGUUCUUCAUCUUUUUCUCAGGUUCUGCUUCUUCUUCAUCUGUUUUCAUUAAUUCUUCUUCAUUUUUCCCAGUUUUUUCGAAAAAAAAAUUUCUAUACUAAAAUUCAUUACAAAAUGGAUAAACAAAUAAAAUACAGUAAAAUGGAUCUAGAAAUAAUCGAAAUCUAAUUCUAACUUAUCUUAGAAUAAAAAAUAGAGACCUUUGUCAUUGGAGAAGAAGAUGAAACAAAAAUGGAGUUUGGAAGUUUUUUUUUUGGGAGUAGAAGAAAGAGGAAGAGUAAGGAGGAGAGAGAGCGAAUGAGUUUUGUUUAAUAUUAAAAGAAGUGG
rnacentral:lncRNA from 1 species